UAACAUGUAUGCGAGUUUGUGGGUGUUAAACCCAUAUAGGCAAAAGGAAACUAAUUCGUGGGAUCCCUUUCUAAAGUGCACCAUGGACCAACUUUGAUCUUUUGAGAAGGGUUUGAGUGUUAGCGUACCUACUA
rnacentral:ncRNA from 1 species